UACGUAGGGUGCGAGCGUUGUCCGGAAUUAUUGGGCGUAAAGGGCUCGUAGGCGGUUUGUCGCGUCGGGAGUGAAAACUCAGGGCUUAACCCUGAGCCUGCUUCCGAUACGGGCAGACUAGAGGUAUGCAGGGGAGAAUGGAAUUCCUGGUGUAGCGGUGAAAUGCGCAGAUAUCAGGAGGAACACCUGUGGCGAAAGCGGCGCACUGGGACCAUAACUGACGCUGAUGCGCGAAAGCUAGGGGGAGCGAACGGG
rnacentral:rRNA from 1 species